UACCAGCAUCCUGAACCUGAAUGUCCAGCUUCGCCUUGUUCUUUGUGGAUUAUAAGACCAUUGAUUAAAUAAAUCCUUUCAUCAAAAUUAUCUUAAAAAAGAAACUACCAUCUAAAUCCAGUUAUUCCAUCUGACUUGGUAGCAGUGAUGUUUGGAGUUUAGGACCUAAAGGUGAAAUGGUAGGGGAAAAUCUGGGUGCUCGGAAAGACACCAGAAGCACACAGAAGAAGAUCAUAUGAAGACACAACAAGAAGGUGACUAGCUGCAAGCCAAGAAGAGAAGCCUCAGAAGAAAUCAAACGUACUAGCACCUUGA
rnacentral:lncRNA from 1 species